GACGAACGCUGGCGGCGUGCUUAACACAUGCAAGUCGAACGGAAAGGCCCUGCUUUUGUGGGGUGCUCGAGUGGCGAACGGGUGAGUAACACGUGAGUAACCUGCCCUUGACUUUGGGAUAACUUCAGGAAACUGGGGCUAAUACCGGAUAGGAGCUCCUGCUGCAUGGUGGGGGUUGGAAAGUUUCGGCGGUUGGGGAUGGACUCGAGGCUUAUCAGCUUGUUUGUGGGGUAGUGGCUUACCAAGGCUUUGACGGGUAGCCGGCCUGAGAGGGUGACCGGCCACAUUGGGACUGAGAUACGGCCCAGACUCCUACGGGAGGCAGCAGUGGGGAAUAUUGCACAAUGGGCGGAAGCCUGAUGCAGCAACGCCGCGUGCGGGAUGACGGCCUUCGGGUGGUAAACCGCUUUCGCCUGUGACGAAGCGUGAGUGACGGUAAUGGGUAAAGAAGCACCGGCUAACUACGUG
rnacentral:rRNA from 1 species